rnacentral:rRNA from 1 species
AGAGUUUGAUCAUGGCUCAGGAUGAACGCUGGCUGUGUGCCUAAUACAUGCAUGUCGAGCGAAGCACUUCGGUGCUUAGCGGCGAAUGGGUGAGUAACACGUACUUAACCUACCCCCAAGAUUGGGACAACACCUAGAAACGGGCGCUAAUACCAAAUACGUAUUUUUAUCGCAUGAUAGAAAUAUAAAAGGAGCUUCGGCUUCACUAGGGGAUGGGAGUGCGCUACAUUAGUUAGUUGGUAGGGUAAUGGCCUACCAAGACUAUGAUGUAUAGCGGGGCCGAGAGGCUGAUCCGCCACACUGGGACUGAGAUACGGCCCAGACUCCUACGGGAGGCAGCAGUAGGGAAUUUUCCACAAUGAACGAAAGUUUGAUGGAGCGACACAGCGUGCAGGAUGAAGGUCUUCGGAUCGUAAACUGCUGUUAUAAGAGAAGAAAAAAUUUGGGAGGUAAUGCCCAAAUCUUGACGGUACCUUAUCAGAAAGCGACGGCUAACUAUGUGCCAGCAGCCGCGGUAAU